UAUGGACUAGAUAAAUUUAUGUACU
rnacentral:piRNA from 1 species